rnacentral:rRNA from 1 species
AGCAGUAGCCGCGGGAAAACGUAGGGUGCAAGCGUUAAUCGGAAUUACUGGGCGUAAAGCGUGCGCAGGCGGUUAUAUAAGACAGAUGUGAAAUCCCCGGGCUCAACCUGGGAACUGCAUUUGUGACUGUAUAGCUAGAGUACGGCAGAGGGGGAUGGAAUUCCGCGUGUAGCAGUGAAAUGCGUAGAUAUGCGGAGGAACACCGAUGGCGAAGGCAAUCCCCUGGGCCUGUACUGACGCUCAUGCACGAAAGCGUGGGGAGCAAACAGGAUUAGAUACCGCGUAGUCCCUGUCUCUUAUACA